rnacentral:rRNA from 1 species
UACAGAGGUCUCAAGCGUUGUUCGGAUUCAUUGGGCGUAAAGGGUGCGUAGGUGGCGCCAUAAGUCAGGUGUGAAAUCUCGGAGCUCAACUCCGAAACUGCACUUGAUACUGUGGUGCUUGAGUACUGGAGAGGAGAUUGGAAUUUACGGUGUAGCAGUGAAAUGCGUAGAUAUCGUAAGGAAGACCAGUGGCGAAGGCGAAUCUCUGGACAGUUACUGACACUGAGGCACGAAGCCAGGGGAGCAAACGGG